ensembl:lncRNA
ACCAGAACUAAACCAGGACUAAACCAGGACUAAACCAGGACUAAACCAGGUCUAAACCAGGACUAAACCAGGACUAAACCAGGACUAAACCAGGUCUAAACCAGGACUAAACCAGGUCUAAACCAGGACUAAACCAGGUCUAAACCAGGACUUAACCAGGUCUAAACCAGAACUAAACCAGGACUAAACCAGGACUAAACCAGGUCUAAACCAGGACUAAACCAGGACUAAACCAGGUCUAAACCAGGACUAAACCAGGUCUAAACCAGGUCUAAACCAGGACUAAACCAGGACUAAACCAGGUCUAAACCAGGACUUAACCAGGUCUAAACCAGGGAUAAACCAGGACUAAACCAGGGAUAAACCAGGACUAAACCAGGACUAAACCAGGUCUAAACCAGGACUAAACCAGGGAUAAACCAGGACUAAACCAGG